UUGUGUGUGUGUGUCUGUGGUUAUGUGUGUGUGUGUAUAUAUAUAUUAUUAUAUAUAUAUAUACACACACACAACCACAGAUGUACAC